GUGACUGCUUUGCAUUUUUCUCAAGGGCAGGAAAAUCGGAUCUGUAUUCUGCUUGUCAGGCACGCUGUGCAGAGGGCCACCUUCACUGGGGCUGCUCGGAAGGCCCAGAAGUCUCGGGACCUUGCCGGAUUUUGAUGCACAGCCAUGAGUUCCACAUUCAAGAUCGGAUCGGCCUCUGAUGACCCACGAAUAAGAGGCGGCUCUCACCUCCUAUUCCCCGCGGGACGGGGUCCCCCCAGAGAGCCGCAAGUUAAGAUAAUUUUCUUUAAAAGUUAACGUCUAAGAUGCAAAUGACUUGUUUGAAAAUCAUCCUAUAUGGCUUAUUAGAAUUCAGAAAAUUAGGUACAAAUUGCCAGGGCGUUUCGCUGAAGAGAACAGUUUGCUUUAUUUGCCCCAAGUCACCUUGAUAGAAUUACUCUUCCUCGAAUAUCUAUCAGGAGGCGGCCUGUGACCUCGGGUAAUGUGUUGCGGGAAUACUCACUGUCCGCAGCGCAGUCCAGCCUGGCACUCGCGUUUGACUUCAGGG
rnacentral:lncRNA from 1 species